ACGGACUUCGGUCUGGUGGCGAGUGGCGAACGGGUGAGUAAUGUAUUGGAACGUACCUUUCAGUGGGGGAUAACGUAGCGAAAGUUACGCUAAUACCGCAUAUUCUGUGAGCAGGAAAGCAGGGGAUCGCAAGACCUUGCGCUGAUUGAGCGGCCGAUAUCAGAUUAGCUAGUUGGUGAGGUAAAGGCUCACCAAGGCGACGAUCUGUAGCGGGUCUGAGAGGAUGAUCCGCCACACUGGAACUGAGACACGGUCCAGACUCCUACGGGAGGCAGCAGUGGGGAAUUUUGGACAAUGGGGGCAACCCUGAUCCAGCCAUGCCGCGUGAGUGAAGAAGGCCUUCGGGUUGUAAAGCUCUUUCGGCCGGGAAGAAAUCGCAUAGGUUAAUACCCUGUGUGGAUGACGGUACCGGAAUAAGAAGCACCGGCUAACUACGUGCCAGCAGCCGCGGUAAUACGUAGGGUGCGAGCGUUAAUCGGAAUUACUGGGCGUAAAGCGUGCGCAGGCGGUUUCGUAAGACAGAGGUGAAAUCCCCGGGCUCAACCUGGGAACUGCCUUUGUGACUGCGAAGCUAGAGUAC
rnacentral:rRNA from 1 species